rnacentral:lncRNA from 1 species
UGAUAUCACCACAUCAGUGUGUGGGUCCUGCCCCUCUUGAAUUACCCUGAACCCUGUGGUGUUCUGGAGGUGGAGUGGGUGCCCCUUACUGAGCAUCCUGUGAUGCUCCCAGAAAACUGCCUGCAUUGGGUAGGACAGCCAUGGCCCUUCCAUCAUCUCCAGAUGACAUUCCCUUCACAUCUGCCUCCUCACCAAGAGAUGUCAAGGCCAGUGUGGUUCAGUAGUGCCUGCAGGAGCUUGUCUCAAGCAGGGAAAAAGCAAGUCUGGAUAGCCUCGUGCAGGGUACCAAGGGGCAGCACGUAUGGUUGGGGUUUGGACUAUGCCAAGAACAAGGGAUCUGCUAUGCAGGUGUGAUGUGUUUCUUUCCCAGCCAUGUGGAUUUGCAGCUUUGCUAAAGGGGAAAUCUGUGGUUGCUGCAGUGCUGAGUAAUUCCUAAAUCCCUUGAUGGAAGCUGCCCUGUAUUCAUGUGGCUACAGGAGAGCUGGUUUGUAUUUUAAGGAAUCAUUGUGGGUGAUGCAGCCACAUCCUCUUUUAAGUCAUGCAGGAAGUCAGCAAUUACUCUCAUGGAUUUCAACCUGAAGUGUGACAGUGCUUUGUGCAAAUGGGGUUUUGCUGGUGUCACACCCAGGCUACCACCAUCCAACCUGCUCCCCAGACCAUAGAAUCAAACAUAGAAUCAUGAAAUAUCCCGAGCUGGAAGGGAUCCAUAAGGAUCACUGAGUCCAAUUCUUGACUGAUCUCCUUCCUCAGCCAUGCUCAUUCCUGGUUAAUACUAGCUGGACUAAAUGCAAGCUGGUUUAAUUUGUAUCAAUCUGCCUCUGCCUCUAAAGUGGGGUCAAAAGCAGUACCAACAGAAACUGCGUGAUAAAACCCAGCCACCCUGACCACAGUUAGUUUUAUUUAAUUAGUUUGUAGGAGUGCUAUUUGUCAGUGUUAAUCUACCAUUGUCAUUGGAAGACAUUCGUGCAAACUCCUGUCAGUAGCUGGCCACAUGUGAAUAAAUGCCAUUGUGGAUGUUGAGUCA